UAAAGACCCAUUAUACCCGUUGCUAUACUCGUUCACAUUUCUGCCUCUCUCCUCUCACUUCUCUCUCCCCCUCUCUCUCUAACCCUAGAAAUGUUAAUCGGUUCCUCUUCUAACCUUGAAGUUGAAAGGCAGAAUUGGAUAUCUUCCCAAAAUUGAGAUUUCAUCCCUUUUCAUCUUUGCCCAAGAAACUGAACCACCAAACGAGCUCUAAGGCUUUUCAGCCACGUUCACCGCAAAAUUACAACGGUUCUGGCUAAAAUUAGCAAAGCUUCAGCGAUAUUUUGGUUGCUCCAGGUCUUGCUUGCCCAUUUUGGGUAAUAGCAUUGAUGAUUCUCGUCCAGCUUGCAAACGUGUUUGGUAGGUUGGGAAAAGUCAGAAAAUGAGGUUGCAGUUCUAAAGCAGCAACUUGAGGCAGCUGAGCAGCAGAACUUGACUUUGGAUGUUCGCGUCAACCAUCUUGAUGUUUGCGAGGGGUGAAGUAGUCUAAUGUUGUAGACUAACUUAAUAUAGACUAGUUUAAUGUUUUGUGGAUGUUUACAAAUGUUGAAGUAGUUUAAUGUUGUUUUGAUGUUUGCAAAGGUUGAAGUAGCUUAAGUCUCUUGUGAAUGUUUGAUUGAUGUUUUUAUUCAACUUUGAAGUAGUUUCAAAUUGAAUUUGAUGUAUUGGUGGUUGUAGUAUAUGUGUUGUAAUAGUAGUUUAAUGUUUUAUGUAUUUAUAGUAGUUUGGUGUA